GCGUGAUUUGGAUGGGUUGCAGGGAAGUCCAAAACAAAAUGGAAGCUUUGGCAAUUUCACCCAUGGCGUUUCCCUUAUUAAUGGUGUGAAAGGCUUAAAAAUGAAGAGCAUAGAUUUCACUUCUUUGCACUUAUCUAAGAAUGAAGAUGGUUCCACAAAUCAAUCACAAAGCUCAAACUUUGAUGUCCUUAAUAGUGAAGGUGUAAGAGAUGGGAAUCUGGAGGGAACUAAAUAUGAUUCACCAGUAUAUGUGAAGAGGGAGGGCAUUCAGAAGCAAACUAAUGGGCCUGUUUCAGCAGUUAAAAGCUUACUACCGCGCGGUUUAAUUAAUUCAGGCAAUUUGUGCUUUCUUAAUGCGUCUCUGCAGGCUCUCUUAUCAUGUUCCCUUUUUGUUCAGCUCUUGCAGGAUCUUAGAAUUCGCAACAUCCCAAAGGUUGGCUUUCCGACAUUAACCGCCUUUGCAGAGUUUGUUUCUAACUUUGACAUGCCGAGCAGUUCCAGCUUGAAAAAGGACACAACUAUGGUCGAGACUGGUAGGCCUUUUAGCCCAGCCAUGUUUGAAUGCGUUCUUAAAAAUUUUACUCCAGAUGUGCCAAAUAGCAUUUCAGGACGACCAAGGCAGGAGGAUGCUCAGGAGUUUUUGAGUUUCAUCAUGGAUCAAAUGCAUGAUGAAUUACUUAAAUUUGAAGGACAAUCUGCUAGCAUUAAUGGUGCCAAAUCAACUCUAGUAUCUUCAAAAGAGGAUGAUGAAUGGGGAGACAGUUGGCCCAAAAAACAAAUCUG
rnacentral:misc_RNA from 1 species